rnacentral:rRNA from 1 species
UACAGAGGUCUCAAGCGUUGUUCGGAUUCAUUGGGCGUAAAGGGUGCGUAGGCGGCUUGGCAAGUCGGGUGUGAAACCUCCAGGCUCAACCUGGAGACGCCACUCGAUACUGCCAUGGCUAGAGUCCGGUAGGGGACCACGGAAUUCCUGGUGUAGCGGUGAAAUGCGCAGAUAUCAGGAGGAACACCGGUGGCGAAGGCGGUGGUCUGGGCCGGCACUGACGCUGAGGAGCGAAAGCGUGGGUAGCAAACAGG